UUUUGGGUGGCCGAUACAGGCAUUAAACUUUUAAUUUAACUAUAAUAUUAUAUUUCCAAA
rnacentral:tRNA from 1 species